ACUCUCAGCAAUGGAUAUCCUAGCUUUUGCAUUGAUGAAAAAUGUAACAAAAUGUGAUACAUGGUGUUAAUUGCAGAAUCUUGUAAACCAUCAAGUCUUUGAACACAAGUUGCACCCAAGCCAUUAGGCUAAGGGCAUGUUUGCCAGGGUGUCAUGCAUCAUCUCCCCUUCUAGCCCCUCGGCCAUCGGGCUUUGGUAAAAGGGGUGAAAAAUAGCCUUCUGUGAUCUUAUCGAUCAUAAUUCACCCAAAAGUAAGUCCCCGACAAUGAUAGCACUGUGACCAUCGAUGGUAAAGCUCUUAAGGUGCCUCAUUUCUGGUGACGUGUGCUUAUUGUCCAUUUGACCCCAUCAAACCCCCUACAUCUCUCGAUCAAUGCUUGUAUCAUGACCCUAGGUCAAGCAGGAUUACACAAUAAAUUUAAGCAUAUCAAUAAGUUGAGGAAAAUAAAACCUACCAAGAUUCUUUUAGAAAUGAUGAGCAAAUCGAAAAGAGACCAACUUGAGAAUUAGGCACUCACGACAUCCAAAUUGUAGUCUAGAGAAGCAUCCUCACCAGUGGACUAGGCCCAAAUUCUUUGGAAAAUGAUGUCGGAGAGGGUGAGAGCCCCAUUGUGCCUAGACCUUAUCGCACCACAAGGCAUUAUCAAUGAGUUGGGUUAUUUAGGAAUGCAACCCCAAUUAGGCAGUAAAUUUUAUCCAAGGCUAAAUAUCAAUGAGAGAUCGAUAGCAAACAAGUACCAUUAGAGAAAGAUGAAAAGAACUUUGAAAAAAUAGUCAAAGAGUGUUUGAAAUUGUUAGAAGGGAAAUGGAUGAGAGCCAAUGAUGCACCCCAAUCAGAUGUGGAAAGGUAAGAACUGGUCCAUUGAUUAGCUCUAGGUGUGGACUAAUGUAAGUCACGAUGAUGGCCUAAGCUCAGAGUUUCAAUAUGCCCACAAAGACAUUGUCACUACGAUCAUGGAAUGUAGCAUGCACUGUCUUGACAUACCUCAUCACCUAUAUGCUCUUGACAUUGGCCUACGAGCUCCCCAUCUAGCCCAUCUUGAAACACAAGCUAAGGAAUUUGAUAUGUGUGUGAAUCAAUGGGCUAGAAAACCUAUAAAGUAAAGGAAGCUGAUUGGCAGGAUCCCUCAUGGGUGCACUACCAAUUGACCUUGAUCUUCAGAGAAGGGUUUGAGUGUGAACAUACCUGUUAGGACCCAAAAUAUGGUGAACUAUGCUUGAGUAGGGCAAAGCCAAAAGAAACUCUAAUGGAGGCCUAUAGUGAUACUAACAUGUAAAUUGUUCACCUAACUUGAGUAUAGGGACAAAAGACUAAUUGAACUGUCUAGUAGUUGUUUCUUUCCAAAGUUUCCCUUAAGAUAGCUGGAGCCCUUGGUGAAUUUCAUUAGGAAAAGCCAAUGAUUAGAUGCAUCAGGUGCAUAAUGCCCUUAACAUAUUCUCAAACUUUAAAUAGGUAGAAUAACACAACUGCUUCGUUGAGCCAUGCCAUGAAAUCGAGAGCUCAAAGGGAGCUAAUUUUGGUAAGCAAAAUUGGUGAUGCAGGAUGAAUCGAAAGCCAGGUUAUAAUGCCUAAUUACAUGCUAACCUAGAACCCACAAAUGGUAUUGGUUGAUUAAGACAGUAGAACUAUCACAAAACCCAAGGUGUGAAUACAUAUGGAGUGGCCAUCAAUGCAGAUCAUGGUGGUAGUAGUAAAUAUUCAAAUGAGAACUUUGAAGGUUAAAAAGGGGAAAGGUUCCAAGUGAACGACACUUGCACAUGGGUUAGUCAAACCUAAGAGAUGGGGGAAGCCCAUUUGAUGGUGUGUCUAGUGCAAGCUUUGAAAGGGAAUUAGGUUAAAAUUCUUGAAUUAGGACACAACGGCUUACAACAAUGUUAGAAAGUCUAAAGAUGUUAGCAGAGGCCUCGGUAAGAUUAAUCUUUUUUAUUUAACAUCCUACCCACCCUAAAAAUAGCUUAACCAAAGGUAAGGUCUAGUAGCUAGAAGAGCAUCGCACAUCAUGCGGUGUCUAGUACACUAUUGGUGGCCCAUGAAAAUUUAGAGGAGUAAGUGCCAUUCAUGCCCUAUCAUACUCAUAACAGCAUCAGGUCUCCAAGGUGAACAACCUUUGGUAGUUAGAACAAUGUAGGCAAGGGAAGUCAACAAAAUGGAUUCAUAACCUUGGGAAAAAGAUUGGGUCUAAGGGCUAGGCAUAGGGGUCCUAAUCCUGAACCCAGCAAGUACUAGUGCACUACUUGAGCUGCUUAUCGAGUGACAAACAAUCAACUUAAAAUUGGUACAGACAAGGGGAAUCUAACUAUUUAAUUAAAAUAAAGCAUUAUGAUGGUCCCUGCAGAUGCUCAUAGAAUGUAAUUUUUGCCCAAUGCUAUGAAUGUUAAAGCAAAAAAAUUCAACCAAACGUGGCUAAAUGGUGGGAGUAACUAUGACUCUCUUAAGGUAGCCGAAUGAUUUGCCAUCUAAUUAGUGACGUACAUGAAUGGAUUAACAAGAUUCCCACUAUCCCUGUCUACUAUCCAGUGAAACCACAGCCAAAGGAAUGGGCUUGGCAAAAUCUACUAGAAGAAAAGAUCAUGUUGAGCUUGACUCUAAUCUGACUUUUUGAAUGACUUAAGAGGUGUAGUAUAAGUGGGAUCCCUUAGGAAAAAUUGAAAUAUAACUACUUUUAAUGUUAUUUUACAUAUUUCAUGAAUCGAAGGCUAGGCACAACCUUUUCUUUUAGACCCAAGGUCAGCCUCAAUCGAUCAAUACGGGCAAAAGACAUUGUCAAGUGAGGAGUUUGGCUAAGGUGGCACAAUUGUUAAAAGAUAACGCAAGUGCCCUAAGAUGAGCUCAACUAGAACAGAAAGUGUGGUCUUUGUAAAUGACUUAAAUAUGUGAUGCGGUGUUGUAAGUAGUAAGUUGCCUUGCAACCACAAUCCAUUGAGAUUCAGCCUUUUGUCACUUUGAUUCAUCCUUCCCCCCAUGACACUCACUGAAGUUUUCUCACUUGAUUUUUUUUCACCAUACCCCUCUAAGGUUAGGGAUGAAUGGUGUUCUCCAUUGCAACUGAUUUAGCUAGGUGAUGACAUUCCUCCCUUGAGCAUCUAAGUACAUGACAACUAAAUGC
rnacentral:rRNA from 1 species